CGGGAAAGCGUCUGCGCAUAGUGUCACUUCCGUCGUGAGCACCGUGGUGACGAGUCGUAUUAUCCUGAUUGUGAUUAAUAAUUGUUGAUUACGAGAAUGACGACAGGAGUAGGCGUUAGAAAUGUGAAUGCCACGAUGAUUAAUGGUCCAUUCGACGAUUCUUCAAACAAAUAUGGCGAUGUAUAAUUAAGAUUUUACACAACUUCUCCACUUUCUGUUAUUCUAUGGAAAGAAUCUAGCCAGGCUUACAAGAAUAUUUUUUACAAAUUCUACUUUCUUCUUGGGGUUUGAUGAUUCUUGCGAGAUGAUAGUUACUAUGAUGACUUCCUCUGGAACAUAGCACCGUCGAUGACA